GAUCAUGGCUCAGGACGAACGCUGGCGGCGUGCUUAACACAUGCAAGUCGAACGAGAAUCACUGGAAGGAGUUUUCGGACAACGGAAGGUGAGGACAGUGGCGGACGGGUGAGUAACGCGUGAGGAACCUGCCUUUCAGAGGGGGACAACAGUUGGAAACGACUGCUAAUACCGCAUGACACAUAGAGAUCGCAUGGUUUUUAUGUCAAAGAUUUAUCGCUGAAAGAUGGCCUCGCGU
rnacentral:rRNA from 1 species